rnacentral:ncRNA from 1 species
ACUAUAUCUAGUGUUCAAGGUUCCUUUAGAUUCGUGUUUGAAUGAAGGGCUAAGACGGGAAUUCGGUAGCGGGCAUGAUGUCCGUGAAGCCGAGGCUGCCCCCGCAACUGUGAACGGCGAGUGCCUUAUCCAUCAUGCCACUGGGUUUCCCGGGAAGGCGGAGAAGGUGCAGUGAACCGUGAGCCAGGAGACCUGCCUUGAUCGAUACGUCCAC